CAGGUUGAGCUUGUCCAUGCUCAGUUCAGAAGAGCAAAAGGGAGGGUCGAUCCUCCUGAUGUUGAGCUGUUGGAAGAUCUCUUAUCCCUUUACAACAAGAGCAAAGAUGCAGCAGUAGAUCCAGCUGUCCUAAGAAGAUCAUCUGAGAAGUUGCAAUUGAAAGGGAUAGCUGACCUCACACAAGAGUCAUUAGCCUUGCAUGAAAUGGUUGCCGCCACUGGUGGUGAUCCUGGUGAGAACAUUGAAAAAAUGUCGAUGCUAUUAAAGAAAAUUAAAGACUUUGUGCAAACAGAAAACCCCAACAUGGAUGCUUCUGCAAUAGAAAAAAAUCAUCAUCCAGGUGGCAGUGGACAAGCUUCCAUCAAUGGGAAUCAGAGGGCCACAGUUAUACCAGAUGACUUCCGCUGCCCAAUAUCCCUGGAAAUGAUGAAAGAUCCUGUUAUUGUUUCAACAGGGCAGACCUAUGAGCGUUCCUGCAUUGAGAAGUGGCUCGAAGCAGGACAUAGCACAUGUCCAAAGACACAA
rnacentral:misc_RNA from 1 species